rnacentral:rRNA from 1 species
GAUGAACGCUAGCGAUAGGCUUAACACAUGCAAGUCGAGGGGCAGCACAAGGUAGCUUGCUAUCUGGGUGGCGACCGGCGCACGGGUGCGUAACGCGUAUGCAACUUGCCCUAUACAGGAGGAUAACCCGUCGAAAGACGGACUAAUACUGCGUAUGCUCACAACUUGGCAUCAAGUGGUGAGGAAAGAAAUUCGGUAUAGGAUAGGCAUGCGUCCCAUUAGCUUGUUGGUGAGGUAACGGCUCACCAAGGCAACGAUGGGUAGGGGAACUGAGAGGUUUAUCCCCCACACUGGUACUGAGACACGGACAAGACUCCUACGGGAGGCAGCAGUGAGGAAUAUUGGUCAAUGGGCGCGAGCCUGAACCAGCCAAGUCGCGUGAAGGAGGACUGUGUUAUGGAUUGUAAACUUCUUUUAUACGGGAAUAACAAGAGUCACGGGUGACUCCCUGAAUGUACCGUAUGAAUAAGCAUCGGCUAACUCCGUG